rnacentral:rRNA from 1 species
GACGAACCGUCCUAACGUUGUUCGGAAUCACUGGGCUUAAAGGGCGCGUAGGCGGCUUGCCAAGUCAGGGGCGAAAUCCUGCAGCUUAACUGUAGAAGGGCCUUUGAUACUGGCGAGCUCGAGGGAGGUAGGGGUAUGUGGAACUUCCGGUGGAGCGGUGAAAUGCGUUGAUAUCGGAAGGAACGCCGGUGGCGAAAGCGACGUACUGGACCUCUUCUGACGCUGAGGCGCGAAAGCCAGGGGAGCAAACGGG